rnacentral:lncRNA from 1 species
UAUUUUUAAAGAAAUUGACAUACUGCUUCUAAGACUUAUCUGGAAAUGCAAACAAUCUAGAAUAGCUAGAAAAUUUUAGAAAAGAAGAGCCAAGUUGGAAAAUGUAUUCCUCCUGACUUUAGUAUUUACUAUAAAGCCACAGUAAUCAAAACAAUGCGGUUCUUGGUAAGGAGAGACAAUAGAUCAAUGGAAUAGAAUAGAGUCCAGAAAUAAACUCAUGCAUAGAUGGUCAACUGAUUUUUGGCCAAAACACCAAUUCAAUUCAGUGUAGAAAAUAAAAUUUGUUAGCAGGUUCUGCUAGAACAACUGAAUACUGUAUUGGAAAAAAAAUGACCCUCAAUCUCUACCUUAUGCUAUACAGGCAAAAAUUAAUUCAAGAUGGAUCAUAACGUAAACAUGAAAUUCAGAACCAUAAACACUCUAGAAGAUGGAAGAUAUCUUCCUGACCUUGGGGUGAAAAACCUGAGGCAUGAUGACUUAUUCCAGUUGGCACAGCUAGCAAAUGGGUCAGACAGCACUCCAACCACCACACUGCCCUCUGGUCCGUCCCUGCUACCUCUGGCUAUUUUAGGAGGGCCACAUGGUGCCCCAGAAAGAGCACCCAAGCCAGAACCUCUCUGAGAUGUAGGGCCUGGUGUUCCAGCCACACACUUUCUGUCUGUGUAACUCGGGGAGCUCUCUCUGGGAAACUGCCCCUUGCUUCACCCACUCCUGGCCUCCUGCUGUGCCAUUUCCAGGAAAGAAGCUACCAUGACCUCCUUCAUUGUUCAAGAACCCCAAGUUCUUGGGUCCAGCCUAAACCGUUCCUGGGACUGGAUGAAAAAUAUGUCUGUGGGCUCUGUUUUCCAUGACUGUAGGUAUGACUGGCCCUCUCCUUUCAGUGAAGAAGCCCUUUGUUGACCAGAGAGAAAGGGGCUGCAGUGGCCAACCCUUCCCUUCGGACUCAGCACUUCCUUGCUUAGUCUGAAAGGUCUUCAGUGCUUUGUCCCCUUUCCUUGAAGUUAGAAAGCAGCACAGA